UGGCGAGUGGCUGAUGAGUGGAUGUGCUGCAGGUGAGAACCAGGUGUGCGUAAUGAGCUCAUAAUGUGGGAUGAUCUGAAAUGACAAGAGUAAGAAAACAUGCAGGUAAGAUGAAAAAAAAGUGCGAUCAACUUUGUGACAUAACGACAUACAACCUUACCGAUAUAUAACCUUUGUAGGUAUACAUAUGACAUUUGUAGGUAUAAAGAUAUAUAACCUCUAUAGAUAUACAGAUAUAUAACCUCUGUAGAUUUAAGCAAUAAGUUGCCUUUAUAAUACGGUACCAGCGAAAUUAUAAAUAUUAAGUAAAUAGUUGCCUUUUAGCACAAAAUAGUUGUAGCCACCAAACAUUGUGUAUCUCAUUUCAGUAGUCUACAGAAAAAUACUCCCUGUACGUGCAUGUAAACCGCAUUGGGUUCAUUCGAUGACGUCCACCUUAAUUGUCCGGUUGCAAAAGUUCGCAUUGCCUGAAACUGAUCAUUUGUGGGACUUUUUUCGGUCUUUUUUCUGCGAUCGGCACCGAGCUAAAAGCUAAAAUGUCAAUCAGUCGCGCGAAAGCUAACCUGUUACUUUGAGUGCGCAGUGAUGUGGAACGUUCGGUCAAUGUGAACAGGUACUGUACAUUAUCGCCCAAUUAUAGAGCCCCCAUGACUCACUCUCAACCAAUCAGAACACUGGAUUGCAUCUACCCGUGUUAUAGUAUACAGAUAUAUAACCUCUAUACAUAUAAAGAUAGGAAUAUUUUUUUAUACAAUAUAAUGCUAAAGGGAACAUUGCUGACUGAAAACAUGAAUCCUCAAAAGAACAUGAGCUGUUUUUGUUCUGCAACCAAAAGAAUUACACAUGAAACAAUUAAACCUGUUUCCUUUCAUCUGUGAAUGGUGAGGUCGAAAGGGCCUGGGGUGCGUCUGUUUGUGUGUAUGUAAAAGGGGGGGGGGCGGGGGUGUGUGUGUGCGCGCGGGGUGCGUGCAUGGGUGCGUGUGUGUGUGUGUAUGUGUGCGCGCGGGGUGCAUGCGUGUGUGUGUGCGCGCGGGGUGCGUGCAUGGGUGCGUGUGUGUGUGUGUGUGUGCGUGUGUGUGUGUGCGGGGUGGUGUGUGUGUGUGCGUGUGUGUGUGGGUGCGUGCGGGGUGGUGUGUGUGUGUGCGUGUGUGUGUGGGUGCGUGCAUGGGUGCGUGUGUGUGUGUGCGCGGGGGGUGUGCAUGUGUGUGCGUGUGUGCGUGCGUGUGUGUGCGCGGGGGGUGUGCAUGUGUGUGUGUGUGUGCGUGUGUGCGUGUGCGUGUGCGUGUGUGUGUGUGUGUGUGUGUGUGCGCGGGGUGCGUGUGUGAUUGAGCGAGCUUUAGUAAUAUACAAUUGAAUACCCUGACACCCGAUGGUCUUCAUCCUGAGGGCACAUCCUCCUCUCUCAAGAACGCUCUGUCUUCAUCACAGUCUGGUGAACAUCUUGUUGUUUUUGUCACAGUUUUCAGGACAUCCUGUUGUUGUAAUUACAGUCUUUUUGACAUCAUUUUGUCUUGUUAUGUCUGGCAGGAGGAAGCUGAAAACAGAAGAGUACAUCAUAAUGGUCCUCCUUUGAGUAAAUGUAAUUCAAUCCGGAGAGACUUGUUGAAAUUUGAAUAAUGCUUUAUUAUAACAGGUAUAAUAUGAUAUUGCAAGUUGUUUGGGGCUUGGACUCCAUCCUGCCGCAGAAUAGAGCCGGGGCCGGGAUCUCGAGCCGAGACGAGGCACAUCCCCCCCUUGGGAGUCCAGACACUGGUGGUGGUGGUAGAGCCCACGUUGCAUAAUUCUCCUGCUACGCCAGGUUCUGCUGUAGACUGGAGGUGUCCGGGGUGGUGGCGGGUGACCUUUGCCGGUGGUGGCGGGUCACCUUUGGGGGUGGUGGCGGGUCACCUUUGGCGGUGGUGACGGGUCACCUUUGGGGGUGGUGGCGGGUCACCUUUGGGGGUGGUGGCGGCUUCACCUUUGGGGGUGGUGGCGGGUCACCUUUGGCGGUGGUGACGGGUCACCUUUGGGGGUGGUGGCGGGUCACCUUUGGCGGUGGUGGCGGGUCACCUUUGGGGGUGGUGGCGGGUCACCUUUGGAGCGAGCUGAAAUGACAACUGACGGCACAAGAGAGGAGAACCGUUUUUUCGCCUAAGCUUCAUUUAGUUGCUUUCCCACUCUGUGCUUUACUGCUUUUAGUGACAGGUGUUUGUUAGAGUUUCCAGAUGCUUCUCCAGUACGGAGGUCCAGCUGUAAGAGAAGCAACGCUCUACUUCAUUAAAAAAAGACUCAAAUAAGGAAGAAGGAACAGAAGAGAGUUACCUGUGAAGACUCAGAUGUGACGAGAGAGGAAGAGGACGAUGAUGAGGAAGUCAUCUUCAGUCUCCAGAGUGACUUCAGCAGGAGCUUUCAACUCCUCGGGUGUCCUACAAAAGUGAGAUUAUUGUGACCUUCAGUAUUCACAACUGGAGAUCAAGUUGUCCAUGACAAACGUCUGUGGGUAAGAGCUAUUUAUAUCAUAGAAUCUUCCAACCCUUCAGAAGAACAAAGGAUCUCCUCCUGUUCUGCUUCAAACACAAAUAGAGAACAAAGAUCGGCAAACUUGGAUGUGUAUUCAUAAACACAGCAUUAAAAUAUAUUAACAUCACUUUGUUCUCGCUGUACUUUUCGGAGUCCCUCGGCUCCUUUAAAUCUAGAUUAAAGACUUCUGUUGGAUGCUGCUUUUAAUUUACUGUGUUUAGUAUUUUGGUACUUUUAAACUACACUGCAGAAUUUAUUCUAUUUUUAGUUUUUUAACGUUGUUUUUUGAAUGACUUUUUCUUUCAUGUUUCAAUCAUCGGACCAAGGACUCAUCUCUUUUCUUGUCUUACUGGACCUCAGUGCCACAUUUGACACAAUUGAUCGUUGUAUCCUGUUGCAGAGACUAGAACAUUUGACUGGUAUUAAACAAACCGCCCUCAGCUGGUUUUAGUCGUAUUUAUUGGAUCGAUCCAGUUGGUGUUUGUAAAUGGUCGAUCAGCGAUGACCACCAAUGUUGGUCACAGAGUCCCAGAAGGUUCUGGGCUUGGACCGAUUUAGUUUACCCUCUAUUUGCUUCCUUUGCUACCUUUGACCCGCUGACACAGGUGGGCGUGGCAGUCAGGAACACUUCUAUCAUGUUUACCUGCUUCUUUGCAUUCACUUUAGUUUUAAUCUUGCUUUAAACUUCUCUUCCCUUUAAGACGAGCCUAGAAACUAAAUGUAAAAUAACGUGAUGGGACAAAAAUGUGUAACAGUCUACUGAGCACGUAGCUGUUGUGACCCUUGUCUCCUAGCAAGGAAAUAAAUGGAGAAAGACAUUUGAUUCAGAAAUUAAUUAAUGUUAAUGUGUUAAUAAAAUGUUAAUAAAAUGUUACCCACAGAGAUUUUCCGAUUGUCUGUGCAAAUCUUCCAUCACAAACCAUGGUGAUGAACACAAUGUCAUGUAAUUGCAUGUAUUAUACAUUGUUCUGUACACAUGGCAUCCAUUGUAGUCUGUCCAUCAGGAGACGGAUCCCUCCUCUGACCUUCUCACUAAGGUUUCUACCCUUUUUUUCCCUCUUGGAAGGUUUUUUCAUUGUUUGGGGAGUUGUUCCUGUGCCGAUGGAGGGUUUCUGGACAGAGGAUGUUGUAUGUGUACAGACUGUAAAGCCCUCUGAGGCAAAUUUGUAAUUUGCGAUUUUGGUCUAUACAAAAUAAAAUUAAUUGAAUUAAAUGAAUUAAACGUCAAAGUUAUAAACACAAUAUCUUUGCUCUUUUCACAGGAGAUUGCCGGGUUUUCAAGAGAGUUAUUCGCCAUAUUUUAUAUCUGAUUAUUGACCAGUUUGCCAGUCUUCUUGUCCCUUGUUUGAGCACUCUGAGGUGAGUAAAAGAUUCAUUAGCUGCCGCGUUUAAACCAAAAGACCCCCUCUCGUGCGCUCAUAUUUACCAGCUGAAGGGCCAACCACGAAGGCAGCGUUUGUUGACUGAAGGAUGAACGUGAAUGUGAGUCUGUGAUUGUCUUUGUGUCCUCAGCUGAAGAGUUGCUCUGUAAUUUGUUUGCCUGCUGAAGAGUGUCAGCUGAAGUCUGGCGUCUUUAAAAGCUCAGCCUGACAAGUAAAUGGAUGAAAAUUGCCAGAGAAGAAGCUUGUUUGGGAUUUUGUUUUGAUUUCCCGCAGAAUGACAUUCCUUUUAGGAAAUGGCAGAGUGAUAAAUGAUUGUGGAUUCUGUUGGGUUGGGGCGACCCUGAUUUAGACCUGGGGUAUCUUUCUCUUUGCCGUAAUGUCCCCCAUUUACCCCUCACCGGAUGCACAAAUGGAUGUCGAUAUUCUUUGUGCCAUCAAAAGUCCAAACUUGUGCGCAAAUACCGUCCUGACUUUAUUAAGUACGGCUUCGUAAACGGAGGUAAUGAGGCGGAGCCGAGAGCCCAGUGUGUGGAGUGUGGACUAACGCUCUCCAACAAAGCAUUGAAGCCGUCAAAAUGAAUGUGCCACUUUGAAAGCAAACAUCCAACGCUUGUGGGAGUUCUGGUUCACAGCCAGGGCUGGCUCAGGUUCACAGUCAGGGCUGGCUCAGGUUCACAGUUAGGGCUGGCUCAGGUUCACAGUCAGGGCUGGCUCAGGUUCACAGUCAGGGCUGGCUGAGGUUCACAGUCAGGGCUGGCUCAAGUUCACAGUCAGGGCUGGCUCAGGUUCACAGUCAGGGCUGGCUCAGGUUCACAGUCAGGGCUGGCUGAGGUUCUCAGUCAGGGCUGGCUCAGGUUCACAGUCAGGGCUGGCUCAGGUUCACAGUUAGGGCUGGCUCAGGUUCACAGUCAGGGCUGGCUCAGGUUCACAGUCAGGGCUGGCUGAGGUUCUCAGUCAGGGCUGGCUCAGGUUCACAGUCAGGUCUGGCUGAGGUUCUCAGUCAGGGCUGGCUCAGGUUCACAGUUGGCUCAGAUUUCUGCUGUUGUCUGCUUAGUAGUAGUGAACAGUCAGCUUGUUCUCUGACCACGUUGAUUUUUUUUAACCUUACUCAAACGCCUUCUCGUGAAGUGAAUAUUUUCUUCAUGCACGUCAUGUUCUGUUUACAGUAAAAUGAUCUGAUAGAUUAAAGUCUGAUGGUAAAAAGAUAAAGUAAUAAUCAUCUUAUAAUACAGAGGGAACAUUCUCCUUUAGUCACAGCUUCCCCUGGAGUAUCCGGUGGAUGUUCCUCCAAACAUGUUUAUUCAUAAGAGCCAGAUAUGUAUUUAUAUGCAUUUAUUUAGUGGACUGAAGCCAUAUUGGCAGAGCUCCCCAUUUCAAAGCUGUUUUGAUCACAUUUCUGUGUAAAUACUGAGAUUCAGCCUCUAUACGUGCUCAAGAAGAAAAAAUUACAGAAAUAUAAGUGUGUGUGUGUGUGUGUGGGCGAGCGAGCAACACUUUGUUUUGUCAUGUCGAGGGCUCUGCCUGAGAAGGAAAUUGGAAACAGCAUUCUUCUUUCAUCUCUCUGCCUCCCCACCAACUCAAACACACACACAUUCCCUCAAAAAUCACACAUCUUUUCCUCCAGCUAGUUGAUCCCACCUGAAAGCUCUCUGAUGCAAACACGUGAACCUCUGAACACACUGAUGAAUCCUGAAGCAGGCAGCAGAGGUGUGUGUGUGUGUGUGUGUGUGUGUGUGUGUGUGUGUGUCUCCUCCGUUCAUAAAAGCAGAUCUUGAGGUGAUAGAAAACAAACAAUGAAGACGUCUGAAAUGAAAGCAGGAAAACAAAAGAGGAUUUAAGAGAAUCUGAGUCUGCAGCUUUUAAUUCUUUUCUCUCUGGGUCACACACACACACACUUUCACUUUGAUGUAAUGAAAACUUGUUAGAAGACGUACUGUUUUACGUAACUACAUUAAAGCUGUUUAAACUUUACAGCCUUCGUGGACUUUUUAGAGGCAGUUUGAAUCACGUCGUUAUCGUGAAAACAUGUUUUUGAAGACACUACAACUUGUGUCUGCCUGGUUGGCACUUUCUGCUUUGCCCUCUGACCUUUCACUCCUCAACCAGUGACUCCCUACAUGAGAACUGGGAAAAUCGUUUUCGAUUAUCACUUAUUGUGUUACAUGUGUUCAAUGACACACUCUCUCUCUGAGUGGCGCUGAGAGCGAUGACGUUUUGCAGCUGGUCGGCGUGCUAAACGCCGCCAUGGACCCGGAGGUCCAGAGAAGACCUCCACUGGUCACAACUGAGACGGCAGGAAGGACAACCGAGGACAGUGGGGGUCCAGCAGGGGGUGAAAAAGGGACAGGUCGAGUCCAGGAGAGUGUGGUGAGUGAAUGCAGAGUCCAGCUGGUGGAGAGAGGGACUCUCAUUAUGUAUUGAUUCAUAUGCUCCUCGGUAUGUAUUGAUCUGCUGCCGCCUCACUGACAACAAAUUGGUUGUGAAAGUGAAAGUGAAAGAGGAAAAGGUCAAAUUGCUCUGUUUGUAAAAGGUCAAAGCUCACCUGUGACUGUUACACCUCCAGUUAGAGUAUCAGACUGAAGAAGUGCGCCCGAGAACAAUUGAAGGACCAUAAACUACAACAGAUUUACAGCGCCUUGCAUAAGUCAUUUCAUUGGGAUUUUAUGUAAUGGACCAACACAAAACAGUCCACCAUAUGGAUUUUACUAACAAACCCUGACAAAGAUCUGGGUCAACCAAUUGCCCUCACAGGUUUUCAAGUCACAUAAUUAUUAGAUUUGGUGCAACGUCUCAGGAUAAAUACACUACUGUAUUAGUGUGAUGCAUUACUGUGUAGUGUAGUCGGACAUGUAGUCCGACAGGAAGUCACCAUGUUCAUGUAGUCCGACAGGAAGUCACCAUGUUCAUGUAGUCCGACAGGAAGUCGCCGUGUUCAUGUAGUCCGACAGGAAGUCGCCGUGUUCAUGUAGUCCGACAGGAAGUCGCCGUGUUCAUGUAGUCCGACAGGAAGUCGCCGUGUUCAUGUAGUCCGACAGGAAGUCACCAUGUUCAUGUAGUCCGACAGGAAGUCACCAUGUUCAUGUAGUCCGACAGGAAGUCGCCAUGUUCAUGUAGUCCGACAGGAAGUCGCCGUGUUCAUGUAGUCCGACAGGAAGUCGCCGUGUUCAUG
ensembl:lncRNA